rnacentral:rRNA from 1 species
UUGAAAGGGAAACGAUUGAAGUCAGUCGUACCGACGAGAAAUCAGCUCUUUGAGUGUGGACUUGUGGGCGUGCGUGAGCUUUACGGUCUCGCUGUUUGCAAUGUUUGUUCUUUUUGGGUGUACUUUUUCGUAUGGUAGGCCAACAUCAGUUUCGAAUAUCAUAAAAUGACCGGCGGAAUGUAGCUUCGAUCUUGUAUUGAAGUGUUAUAGCCUCUGGUAGAUGUGGUGUUUGGGACUGAGGAUUGGCAACGAAUAUCCGUUUGGGGCUAUCCGGUCUGAUCUCUGAAAGUUGCUUAGGUGCCGAAAGCGUGCUUACGGUUAUUUAAGUUGACGGUCAAAAAGGUUAGAACGUGAUUACAUUCGUUAAGGAUGUUGACGUAAGUC